rnacentral:rRNA from 1 species
GACGUACUGCGCGAGCGUUAUUCGGAAUUACUGGGCUUAAAGGGUUCGCAGGCGGCUCUCUGAGUCCGACGUGAAAGGUCCCGGCCCAACCGGGGACGUGCUUCGGGGACUCGAGGGCUCGGGCGAGCUAGGGGUCUGUGGAACUCCCGGUGGAGCGGUGAAAUGUGUUGAGAUCGGGAGGAACGCCGGUGGCGAAAGCGACAGACUGGGGCUUUGCCGACGCUCAUGCACGAAAGCCAGGGGAGCGAACGGG